GCAGUGGUGGUUCAGUGGUAGAGCCCUUGCCUUCCAUCGCCGGAGGCCUGUGUUCAAGUCCCAGCCAAUGCA
rnacentral:tRNA from 1 species